rnacentral:hammerhead_ribozyme from 1 species
GCACUGCUGAGGAGUUGCGCAAUAGGACGAAACGGCCGUCCAGUGC